AGCGGCGGACGGGUGAGUAACGCGUGGGUAACCUGCCCUAUACAGAGGGAUAGCAGCUGGAAACGGCUAUUAAUACCUCAUAAGCACACAGUGUCGCAUGGCACAGGGUGAAAAGAUUUCAUCGGUAUAGGAUGGACCCGCGUUUGAUUAGCUAGUUGGUGAGGUAAUGGCUCACCAAGGCGACGAUCAAUAGCCGACCUGAGAGGGUGAUCGGCCACACUGGGACUGAGACACGGCCCAGACUCC
rnacentral:rRNA from 1 species